rnacentral:rRNA from 1 species
CCUACGGGAGGCAGCAGUAGGGAAUCUUCCACAAUGGGCGAAAGCCUGAUGGAGCAACGCCGCGUGUGUGAUGAAGGGUUUCGGCUCGUAAAACACUGUUGUAAGGGAAGAAUGACAUUGAGAGUAACUGUUCAAUGUGUGACGGUAUCUUACCAGAAAGGAACGGCUAAAUACGUGCCAGCAGCCGCGGUAAU